GACGAACGCUGGCGGCGUGCUUAACACAUGCAAGUCGAACGGUGAGGCCCUUCUUUUGUUGGGUGCUCGGGUGGCGAACGGGUGGGUAACACGUGAGUAGCCUGCCCUUGACUUUGGGAUAACUUCAGGAAACGGGGGCUAAGACCGGAUAGGAGCUCCUGCGUCAUUGUGGUGGUUGGAAAGGUUCGGCGGUUGGGGCGGGGCUCGCGGGGUUUCAGCCUGUUGGUGGGGUAGGGGCGUAACAAGGCUUUGACGGGUAGACGGCCUGAGAGGGUGACAGGCACCACUGGGACUGAGAUACGGCCCAGAAGUCUACGGGAGGGAGCAGUGGGGAAUAGUGUAAAAUGGGCGGAAGGCGGAAGCAGCAACGCCGCGUGCGGGAUGAAGGCCUUCGGGUUGUAAAGCGCUUUCGCCUGUGUCGAAGCGUGAGUGACGGUAAUGGGUAAAGAAGCACCGGCUAACUACGUG
rnacentral:rRNA from 1 species